AGCCCUAAUCCCCGUGCCCCCCUUCCCCCCCCCCCAGCUCGCUACCACCGGCUCGCACUCGCCAGUUUUGCGUCGCAAGGCUGCGGGCUGUGGCAUGAGCAGCGCGGAACCGGGCCUAUGGGUCUGGGCGGCCGCCUGCCCAAUGAGAGGCCUGCGCGACCCGGCGCCCUCGCACUUGGGAGCGCGCAGCCCACCGGCUGUGCCAGAUGAAGACCCCAUGGAGGUUACAGUGAGGACUCGAGAUCGUGACAGUGAGGAGAUGCAAGCCUGACCUGGUUUCCUGGUGGCAUCUGAUACUGAAGAGAGCAUCAUCUAUGGAGCUGUGCCUUACUAAGUCUCACUCUAGACCAGGCCAGCUUCCAGUUUGCAGUCCCCUUCAGCUUUGAAAUGCUGGACAGGCACGAGACACCAUGCCCAGCUUCAUCUGUUACUAGAGUGGGAGAGACCAUGGGAAAGAAGACAGGCAAAAACAGGUUAUAGGUGCCAACAGUAAGUUCUGUAAGCAACAUUAUUUUGCUAUUGGUGUAUCUGGUAAACAUCUGUGACUAGAGAUUGACCAAUAAAGACUUUGGAACUGUC